rnacentral:misc_RNA from 1 species
GUGAAUCAUCAAAUUUUUGAACGCAAAUUGCACUCCCUGGUAUUCCGGGGAGUAUGCCUGUUUGAGGGUCGGUAGAACUAAAAUCGAAUCUUCUCUCUUUUUUUUUAAGUGUGAUCGCGGCUUAAUGUAGCCUUCUUUCAAAUGUUAAUUCAUGUCAAAUUGGCUGGAAUUUUUUCAAUCCGUUACGAUGAAAUCGUAUUUAUUAUCAACUUUGAUUAAGAAGUCUCGUUGAACUUACCAUCUCAGCUAGUACUUUUGACUUGACU